GAUGAACGCUGGCGGCGUGCUUAAUACAUGCAAGUCGAACGGAGGUAUGUAGCAAUACGUAUCUUAGUGGCGAACGGGUGGGUAACGCGUUGGUGACCUACCCCAGAGAGGGGGAUAACAGCUCGAAAGGGCUGCUAAUACCCCAUGUCGUCAUGGCGCCUAGAAAGCCAUGCCGAAAGGGGCAAACCGCUCUGGGAGGGGCCUGCGUCCCAUCAGCUAGUUGGUAGGGUAAUGGCCUACCAAGGCGACGACGGGUAGGGGACCUGAGAGGGUGACCCCCCACACUGGCACUGAAACACGGGCCAGACACCUACGGGUGGCAGCAGUAGGGAAUAUUGCACAAUGGGCGAAAGCCUGAUGCAGCAGCGCCGCGUGCGCGAUGAAGGCCUUCGGGUCGUAAAGCGCUUUUCGGGGAGAUGAGGAAGGACAGUAUCCCCGGAAUAAGGAUCGGCUAACUACGUGCCAGCAGCCGCCGUAAGAC
rnacentral:rRNA from 1 species